rnacentral:tRNA from 1 species
UCCCUGGUGGUCUAAUGGCUAGAACUCCGUACUCCCAAUGCAGGGAGUCCAGGUUCAAUCCCUGGUCAGGGAA